CCUACGGGAGGCUGCAGUGAGGAAUAUUGGUCAAUGGACGAGAGUCUGAACCAGCCAAGUAGCGUGAAGGAUGACUGCCCUAUGGGUUGUAAACUUCUUUUAUAAAGGAAUAAAACGAGGCACGUGUGCCUUUUUGCAUGUACUUUAUGAAUAAGGAUCGGCUAAACCCGUGCCAGCAGCCGCGGUAAUACGGAGGAUACGAGCGUUAUCCGGAUUUAUUGGGUUUUAAGGGAGAGUAGAUGGGUUGUUAAGUCAGUUGUGAAAGUUUGCGGCUCAACCGUAAAAUUGCAAUUGAUACUGGCGGUCUUGAGUACAGGUGAGGUAGGCGGAAUGCGUGGUGUAGCGGUGAAAUGCUUAGAUAUCACGAAGAACCCCGAUUGCGAAGGCAGCUUACUAAACUGUGACUGACAUUGAUGCUCGAAAGUGUGGGUAUCAAACAGGAUUAGAUACCCGAGUAGUC
rnacentral:rRNA from 1 species